AGAUUGAAGUGGGUUUGCAUACCUAGUCAGUCACUUUGUAUAAAUCCUGUUGCCAAUUGCAGCUAAGAGCAGCAGUGACGGUAUGCACCAUGAUUUAGGCUUACUCUUGUUACUACGGUAGCAGUUAAGAGGUUGCAAGGAAUGCAGGCCACAUUUUCUGAUGUACAUUGCUGUGCUCUCAUGGUGAUGAAACAGGAAGAUGAACCCCACCACUCCAUUACAAUAGGGGAAUAUUCACUACCUGUGAAACCAAC